CAUCUGCAAGAGAGAGUGGGAUGAUGGCAUGAGUGACGAAGUCCUGGUGACUGCCUUGCUUUUAGUUGUCCCUGCCUCCAUCCUUCUGGCAUCUCUAGAUUCUUCUGAAAUGCCUCAUAACAACUUUGAAGUGCUAUGUCAGCCUAUGUCUCUCUAGUAAAGGAGAGCUAAGGGACCCCUGUGUUGCAGGGACACAACCAGGGUCCUCAGGAGCUCAGUGUCUAGUAAGUAGGUAAAGAAAACAUGUUCCCAGGAGAAGGCCUGGGCACCCAGAGACAUCCUGUCCCCAUAUGAACUAAGACAGCUAUUAAGUGCCCAGUGGACCCAGGCCUAGAUCCAUUACACCACAUGGAGGGUGUGAAAUGAGACACUGGCUUUGUGGGCUUCCAAGAAUACUGCCUCACGCCUUUUUGAGACAGGGUGUCGAGUAGCCCAGGCUAACCUGUAACUAUGCGACUGAAGAUGACCUUGAACUCUGGCCUUAAAAGGCCAAUUGCUGGGAUCACACAAGCCUGUGUGUUUGGUUUCUGUGGUGCUGGGAUAAAGCUCAGGACUUUGUGCGUGUCAGGUGGGUAUCCGCCAACUGAGCUACAGCUACAGCCCCAGAACACCCGUCUUCCUACAACAGGAAUGCAGCAGUCAGUAAGCUCACUGGACCUGCAUGACUGCUCUCACAUGGCUCACCACGUAAGUAGCAAAACAAAAUGCUAAUAAAAAUGUGGCCGAAGAUGUUUCCAAGCACUCUGAGGAGACAAAUUAGGGUGAAAGAAAGAAAGAAAGGAAGAAAUAAACAAGCAAGCAAGCAAGCAAGCUUACAGAGAUGGCUCAGCGGUUAAGAGCACUGACUGUUCUCCCAGAGGUCCUGAGGUCAAUUCCCAGCAACCACAUGGUGGUUUACAACCGUCUGUAAUAAGAUCUGAUGCCCUCUUCUGAUGUGUCUGAAGACAGCUAUAGUGUACUCAUAUAAAUAAAAUAAAUCUUUAAAAAAUAUAUAAUUUAAAAAUUUGAAGUUCACAGAAAGGCUGGACCUAGAAAUUUGGGACUAGCCUAAGCCGCAUAACAAGAUUCCAUCUCAAAAACAAAAUAAAAAAAAAAUGACCCAGGUACAUGCUUAGAACUCUAACACCUGAAAUUAGGACAAUUCUGAAUUCCAGGAUCCUGAUGUAUUUAAAAAAAAAAAAAAAAAAAAAAAAAAAAAAAGAUGGCAGAGCAUUUACCUGGCAAGCACAAAGCCCUGGCGUCUAUCACAUCAAUAAACAAACAAAACACAACAACAAAACAAAAAUGAAAAUAAAAUAAAUAACCCCAACAACUCUGAGAUGUCACUGCUCAGUGUCUACAAAUGUCCCCAAAUUAACAGUAGCAUGAAGCAAGUGAGAAGUGAGGAGAGAGAUGUGGAGGAAUGAAGCUCAGCAAACAUCUCUAGAGAGAUGUGACCAAGGGAACACAGCACCACCCGACACAGCAAUUCCACGCCCACGUGUGUCUCCACAAAGCAUGGCAGAUAGGGCUUCAAACAAAUACAAGUAUGCAAACUCUCAGGUACAGGGGCUGUUAUAAGCAGUCCUGUCAGUCAGGAGGCUGAGGUCAAGAAGCUGAUGGUGUCCUAGCUAACCUGGACAACACAGCAAGAGCUCAAAGAAAGAACAGAACAUGUUGGUGCUGGGGCUUAGUUGGCAGAAUGCAGUAAGCCAUAGACUCCAUUCCCAGAACAGCAAAAAUGACAUAAAACAGCAGGAGUGGUACACAGAUGUAAAAAACAAACAAAAAAAAAACAAAAACAAAAACAAACCUUUGGGAAGAGGAGGCAGGAAGAUCAUAGUUAGAAGGAAAUAUACCUAUCUAUCUACCUACCUACCUACAUAGACAGAGAGAGAAAGAGAAAGAGAGACAGAGGACUGUUUAUUCUCAAUAGUCAAAACUAGACUCAACUCAAAUUCCAUCAACAGAUAAACAAAAUCAAAUAAUGGUAUUAUUUAAGCACAGAGAGAAACAAAGUCAAGACUUGCUACAACCUGGAACACUACCAGAAAUACUGUGUCAAAAGAAGGGAACAGCCACAAAGGUUGUGCAGUAAGUACUGUGUUCAAUCAAACAGCAGGAAGGGUAUAUCCAAAGUGGCUGGGAUAGACUUUCAGUUAGUUGCCAGGGCUCCAAGAAGGCAGUAGGGGAGCAAGAACUACCUGGUAUGGGUGUGGGGUUUCCUGUGGGGCGAUGACAGGGUUUUGGAGAUAGCUAAAGGUCACAGUUACAUAACACCAAAUAUGCUCAAUGCUCCUGAUUUGUACUUUAAAAUGGCUCGUGUUAGUUUAAGGAGCUGUCACUUCAGUAAAGAAAAUUGAGCCCUAUCUGACAGUACAGUGCAUGGGGACCUGCAGUACUCACAGGGGACAUGGCUACCCAGUUCUGUCUAGCUCAUUGAAGAGCCAGGCUCUGGGAGUAGAUGUCACCUCCUAGGAGCAAGGUAUGCCUGAGGGUCUGUUGGUUGUCCACUGGCCCAGACACAGGGGCCCAGACUUAGUGCCUGGGACUAUGUCCCUUCUAGAGUAGAAGGUAAAGGUGAUCUUUGGGCUAGGUCUGGAUGAUAAGACCCUGGGAUGCCCAGUUGCCCUAUGUGCUCCUCUUGCAGCCUGGCUCCAAGCAGGCAACUAUAGCACUAGCACCGGUGGUGGAUGGCAACAGAGGCAGGGCUGGGGCACUGAUGAAGGAGUCUGCAUUUUCUGAGCAUCACAGCUGGUCCCUCAGGCCUUUCCUCUUGAACACAGGAAGCACCAGGAACCUUUGUAACAUACUCAUGCAAAUGAACAAACCACCUACACCACAGGCCCCUGCUUUUCAAAUCCUGCUUUAGGAGGCCUUGGAGUAAAAACUUGAAGUAUUUGGCUGGCACAUGCAAAGUCCUGGGUUCCAUCCCCAGAACUAAAAAAAAUAAAAUCAAAGCAAACAACAAAAUGUUCCUUUCGAAGAGCCCCAGCUUUGUGCAGCAUCCCUGCUCACUGCGGCACACCCAAUCCUCUAGAUCCAAAGGAAGGCUUGGACUGGCCUUUGCACAUCCUAGCCUUCCCAUCUCCCAACUCCCUUCUAGAGAUGGGUCCAGGGCAAUCCUGUGGCUAGAUAGAGAAGACAUCCCAUACCAUAAGGAUAGAACUGCAGAGCAAGGGUCCUCUAAGGAGCACCUGAAGCCUACAUGAGGAAGUAGCAUUAAAGUGUCCCUAUAACCACAGGCCUGCUACAGAUGAAGAAAAUGCCCAUAGAUCCUUCAAGCAGGUAAAUGUUCCCUGCAAUGUCAAUGCAGCCACUGGUGAGGGAGCUACAGCAGAAGCUUGCAGCCCCAGGUUUCAGAAAAGCUCCAGGGUAUGAUCUGCCACAAACCAACCCAGCCUUCUUUUCCAUGGUUGCCUCAGGUUAUGAAAUGUGGAACAGAAAAGAGAUACAGGAUGGGAUAAUCCAAGAAAGGACUCAGGUGAUGACUCACUCCCUAAACCCACCAUUUGGGAAGCUAAGACAGGACGGCUGAGGCUAGAGGGAGGCCACUGUUGCCUGUAGUGACAGUGGAACACAGCAGUGCAGCCAACACAGGCGCCUUGCUUGAGGAACUCUGGAACUGUCUGCCUUGGCCAGUCACUGAUGUGGAACAAGGAUGGGACCUCAGGGGAGCCCUGCUCCAAGCCACAAGUGGCUGGGAACAGAAGCCAGAACCUCCAACAUGCCAGACAGGCACCUGACCCCAAAGCUCCAGCCACAGGCUGGGACUCACAAACUUAAGUGGGAUCUGAGCUUUACCUCAGAUGUCUUCAGAUCCCCAAGAUGUCCAGAGCAGUGAUUUAUGCUAGUGGAAAGCAGGAGCUAGGAACAGCAGCUCACUCUCAGGUACAUGUCCGCCUUGGGGUAAUGAAUGAAAUACAGACUAUAGCAAUAUGGCUGCACCUCUACAGACAGCACCAUCACCCUGCCCUCUAGAAGCCCAUGCAUGUUCACUGGGACUCCAUGGUAGGCUCUGGGGCUGCUAACCUCUCUUGCCUUUCAAAGUUUCAGUCCUUUCCUGAUCUAUGAGCCAUAACUCAUUUAUGAAUUCUUCUCAAAGUCUGCUGGAGGGUCUGCCCAGGAGCUCACAGAAGUAGGAAGGCCAGCUACAGGGAUUUGGAUGUGACAGAGCUAGACUCUCAAGCCAAAUUCUUAAAUGCAUUCCUGUCUCCACACCAGCCCUGAGAGCUGCAGCUGUCAUCCAUCUCUACAGGUGGAGGGCAAAUGAAGUUCACAGGAUCGUCUGAGAUCACAGCCACUGACUUCUGACCUCAUACCCCAGCUGUAUAGCACUUGCCUACACCUGUAUGUACAAGGCUUUGAGCACCACCCCCAGGCACUGCAAUGAACACAAACAAAACCUUGAGGGGCUCUUCGCAGCCAGGUAAGGUGGUCCUGAGCUGACUGUCUGAAGUUCCUCCCAACCCCAACUCUCCAGCCAGCUGGGCAUGUCCUUCCACUCACCCCAUUUCCUAAGAGUCUCGUUCCCCAGGUUUCCAGCAGACCCCAAGUAUAUCCUGGUCAGGAACUGUAGCUGCCAGAGGGUCUCCUGAACCACCCCCAUCUGCUAACCCAAGCCGAUCCCUGGUCAAGUCGUAUUCUGGUGAAAACACCCUCACUGGUCCCAUCUAGGCACCGAUGUGGAAACCCAAGGCUCAGUGCUUACCAUUCACAAUCUCACCAGGUUCUGAGACCAUGAGUGUGGCUGAGGCACAGAAGCAAGAGAAGUAUAUUAUCCCUAGCUACCUCUAUGACAUACUCAACAAGCUCAAAUACAUCUAUGCAGAGGAAUGUGUGACUGUGUGAGUUGUAUAUGUAGAGGCUAUAAAGAGUCCCACAUGGCAGCUCAAGGAAAAUUCCGUAAACAUACAAGUCAGGUCAGAGCAAACUGUCCAAAGACAGAAAAACCAAAUUACACCGUCCACAUCCAAAUCACAGAUGAGGGCAGCAGUUCUCAACCUGUGGGUCAUGAUCCCUUUGGGGUUACAUAUCAUACAUUUAUGUUAUGAUUCUGAACAGUAGCAAAAUUUUGUACCAAGGGGGCUGGAGAGAUGCUCAGUGGUUAAGAGCACUGACUGCUCUUCCAGA